GCAAAAGCACUCUUAAAAUAGCCCCGAAAAUUUUGUAAUGGUAAAGUAUAGGAAGAAUUUUCUGGGGGUUAAAGGCGGGGAAAGGUCCAUAGAGAAAUUCUCAUUCGGCAAGAUAGGCAGGAGCCCAAGGGACCCAAGCCUUAUGGGACACGGUAAUGGACAUAACGAUCAUUUCAAUAUUAUUUUGUUGAACACGGAGUGGACAAAGCGAUGGUUUUGGCGUUAUUGGACACGUAGUGGACAUAACAAUCGUUUUGUUGUUCUUUGACACGUUUUGAAGAAAUCGCUUUUCUUUUUGAUUACUGGAUCAAUUGCUUCGGUUGCCAAUUUUCAGUGGUUAAAGAUAGAAUUUUUCUCCAGAAGGCUAUUAUUUUUAUUCAUUUCAAAAUUUUCUGUGGACUUCAAGAGAUUCGUUUUUUUUAAGUAAUGGCAUACUGCCCCUUGCAGUGCCGAUACAUGGAUGCGCCAGCGAGGUGGAUCUUCGUCUUUGGGCUUCUACACUUCAUCCGAAUUCUGAAUCUGAUAACGGACAAGACAACAACGACUGGAAGGUUAGAUUUAUAACAACAACUAACUUCACUGGAAGAAUCUUGGAGGAGGUGAAGUGGAGGCUUCGUCCGAGCGCUGAGCAUCGGCGGGAGUGAAGGAAGAUCCUACUUCGUCUACAUGUCACAACCAGAUCUGCCUAGUUUCACAGCGAUCUAUGCUUGGACACCGGACCUCGCGGCUCGUGCGAAUUGGUGAUCACAAGAAAAAUAGCGGCACACGUUUUUUAUUUCGAACAUUUCAGGAAGGCUUUGCUACGCUUGAGCGCCGAAGGAUUCGUCAUGGUUUUGCUAUUGAAGCAAGGGAACAAGCUUCAUUCUUGUGUUUUGGUAUAAUUUGUGAAGGAUUUUAUUAUCAUGAACAAUUAAAAAGUCCGUUGAGUUAGGAAUUUACCACUUUUAAAUUCAUUUUGGAAUUCAAAUAUGGAGAAUUUGAAGAGCUUUAUUUCUACGUAGGAAACAUCAAGCAAACAGCAAGAAUUGGAUUGGAUUACUUCGUCAUUGCAAAACGUUCCACAACAUCACAAUAAAACAUCUUACAUCAUUCAAUUGUUUUACUUGGGCAUAACACAAGUGCAUCCUGUAGAAUUCAUCACCGUCUCUCUAAUCCAGCGUCUCUUUUUCCGAAAAUAUACUUGAACCGGGGCCUUAACUUGGACACUUGCUAGACUUAAAUUUUCUUGGCGAGUUGCCGGAUCUAUGCAUCCCUUGCAGAGACAUUUUGCGCUUAAAAUUACCCUCGGGCGUCUGUAAAAUGUAAUUUGUUUUAAAUAAAAUAACAUUUGAUUGUGACUCCUGUAUUUGCUAUCGGUGAUGUUUCACUAAUUUAAUAAA